UGAGUCCGAGGAGCUACGGCUCUUAAGUGAUACGAGUCAGACUUCCCAGAAAAGCCCGAACCACGUUAAUCUCUAAUUACCUGUACCCGAAACCGACACAGGUGGGUAGGUAGAGUAUACUAAGGGGCGCGAGAUAACUCUCUCUAAGGAACUUGGCAAAAUGACUCCGUAACUUCGGGAGAAGGAGUGCCUUAUUUAUAAGGUUGCAAUAACAAGAUCCAAGCAACUGUUUAUCAAAAACACAGGUCUCCGCUAAGUCGUAAGACGAUGUAUGGGGGCUGACGCCUGCCCAGUGCCAGAAGGUUAAAGAAGUUGGUUAGUGUAUGCGAAGCUGAUGACUGAAGCCCUGGUGAACGGCGGCCGUAACAAUAACGGUCCUAAGGUAGCGAAAUUCCUUGUCGGGUAAGUUCCGACCCGCACGAAAGGCGUAAUGAUUUGGAUACUGUCUCGGAGAGAGGCUCGGUGAAAUAGACUUGUCUGUGAAGAUGCGGACUACCUGCACCAGGACAGAAAGACCCUAUGAAGCUUUACUGUAACUUGAAAUUGGAAUUGGACUUUGCUUGCGCAGUAUAGGUGGGAAGCGUUGAAGAUAUUCUUGCGGGAGUAUUGGAGCUAUCAGUGAGAUACCACUCUUGUAAUGUUAGAUUUCUAACUUUGAACCAUAAUCUGGUCAAAGAACAGUUUCAGGUGGGCAGUUUGACUGGGGCGGUCGCCUCCCAAAUGGUAACGGAGGCGUACAAAGGUUUCCUCUGAACGGAUAGAAAUCGUAUCUAGAGUGUAAAGGCAUAAGGAAGCUUGACUGUGAGACCUACAAGUCGAGCAGGGACGAAAGUCGGUCUUAGUGAUCUGACGGUACUGAGUGGAAAGGCCGUCACUCAACGGAUAAAAGUUACUCUAAGGAUAACAGGCUGAUCUCCCCCAAGAGUUCACAUCGACGGGGAGGUUUGGCACCUCGAUGUCGGCUCAUCGCAUCCUGGGGCGGUAGUACGUCCCAAGGGUUGGGCUGUUCGCCCAUGAAAGCGGUACGCGAGCUGGGUUCAGAACGUCGUGAGACAGUUCGGUCCAUAUCCGGUGUAGGCGUUAGAAUAUUGAGAGGAGCCUUCCUUAGUACGAGAGGACCGAGAAGGACACACCGCUGGUGUACCAGUUAUCGUGCCAACGGUAAACGCUGGGUAGCUAUGUGUGGAGUGGAUAACCGCUGAAAGCAUCUAAGUGGGAAGCCCACCUCAAGAUGAG
rnacentral:rRNA from 1 species